GUACCCACUGAGGACUACUCCUUUUUGCAGUAGUUCUCACACCCAGUUGUUGACCUCCUUUUGCAGAGCCUUCUUCUGUAGCUGCUGCUGUCGCCGAUUCUGAUCGUGGAAAGGUAGUCGCGAGUUAGAUCCUUUCGUUGGUUGUAGUACUAGAGGAGUACCAUCUACAGGUAGUUUUUGGGUAUUUUGGUUCAUGUACAUACUUAUGCUGGUUUAAUCGCUGGAGCGAGGGAUAUUUGUAUUUUGGAGACUUUGUAUGUAUAGUGAACCUGAUAUUUAUUUAUAUGCUAUUUUUAGUUUAGCAGCUCGUUACCUUUUGGUUGUAGCUUGACUUGUUUAUAGGUACAUCUAUCGCUUCGUAUACAACAAAAAUUUCUAUAUAUACGACGGGUCUGUUGGCGUGUCCGAAAAAACGUGUAAUUCGGGGCGUGACAAUAAUAUAUAUAUAUAUAUAUAUAUAUAUAUAUAUAUAUAUAUAUAUAU
rnacentral:lncRNA from 1 species